AUUGAACGCUGGCGGAAUGCUUUACACAUGCAAGUCGAACGGCAGCACGGACUUCGGUCUGGUGGCGAGUGGCGAACGGGUGAGUAAUGUAUCGGAACGUGCCCAGUCGUGGGGGAUAACGUAGUGGAAAUUACGCUAAUACCGCAUACGAUCUAUGGAUGAAAGCGGGGGAUCGCAAGACCUCGCGCGAUUGGAGCGGCAGAUAUCAGAUUAGGUAGUUGGUGGGGUAAAGGCCCACCAAGCCAACGAUCUGUAGCUGGUCUGAGAGGACGACCAGCCACACUGGAACGGAGACACGGUCCAGACUCCUACGGGAGGCAGCAGUGGGGAAUUUUGGACAAUGGGCGAAAGCCUGAUCCAGCCAUUCCGCGUGCAGGAUGAAGGCCCUCGGGUUGUAAACUGCUUUUGUACAGAACGAAAAGGUUUCUACUAAUACUAGGAGCUCAUGACGGUACUGUAAGAAUAAGCACCGGCUAACUACGUGCCAGCCGCCGCCGUAA
rnacentral:rRNA from 1 species